rnacentral:rRNA from 1 species
UUUUUCGGUGGGGGAUGUGCUCGCGGCCUAUCAGCUUGUUGGUGGGGUAAUGGCCUACCAAGGCUUCGACGGGUAGCCGGCCUGAGAGGGUGACCGGCCACACUGGGACUGAGACACGGCCCAGACUCCUACGGGAGGCAGCAGUGGGGAAUAUUGGACAAUGGGCGGAAGCCUGAUCCAGCAACGCCGCGUGAGGGAUGACGGCCUUCGGGUUGUAAACCUCUUUCAGCGGGGACGAAGCGCAAGUGACGGUACCCGCAGAAGAAGCACCGGCCAACUACGUGCCAGCAGCCGCGGUAAUACGUAGGGUGCGAGCGUUGUCCGGAAUUAUUGGGCGUAAAGGGCUCGUAGGCGGUUUGUCGCGUCGGGAGUGAAAACGCCGGGCUUAACUCGGUGCUUGCUUUUGAUACGGGCAGACUAGAGGCAUGCAGGGGAGAACGGAAUUCCUGGUGUAGCGGUGAAAUGCGCAGAUAUCAGGAGGAACACCGGUGGCGAAGGCGGUUCUCUGGGCAUGUCCUGACGCUGAGGAGCGAAAGUGUGGGGAGCGA